AUGCUGAGAUGUGGGGACACAGCCCAGGGGUGUUGGGGAGUGGGCGAGGAGCUGGGGGAGCGAUGGGGGGAGCUUGGGGGUGACUCAAUUGUCUCCUUCCUCUCUCCCUCCCCAGGGCUGCGGGCGGCCGUGGAGCUGACGGAGUCCGGAGGGGGCACCGUGACACCCGGGGGGUCCCUCACCCUCCGCUGCAAGGCCUCCGGCUUCGAUUUCAGCAGUGUCACCAUGAACUGGGUGCGACAGGCCCCUGGGAAGGGUCUGGAGUUCGUCGCACAAAUUAGCAAGGAUGGUAGUGGCACAGAAUACGCGCCGUCGGUCGAGGGUCGCUUCACCAUCUCCAGGGACAACUCCCAGAGCACGGUCACGCUGCAGAUGAACAGCCUCAAGGAGGACGACACGGCCACCUACUACUGCACCAAAAGUGCUG